AUACUCGUUGAGAAAUAUUUUGUGUAUUCCUUUUUUUUAAAUUAAACAAUUUCUUUAAAAAAUUGUUCAUCCUAGAAUAGAUGGAUUAAAUGGAAUUAUUUCAAUGGAUACAUUUAUGGAAUAUACACGUCAGAGUUUAUGAUAUAUACGAGAGACAUUAUUCUGCGAGGAAUAAAGCAAUGUCUCAUCCAUUUAAAACUACGUCUGCAUUCCCGACAUUGCAGGCUAUCCUUUAGCAAGCAAGAUGUCUCGCUUAUUCAUCCUGAAAUCAAUAACUAUAGAAAUUAUUUGCACGCUUACCUAUGAGAUAAAGGAAAAAAGAUACUUUUCUUAGAGAGAAACGUGAAACAAUAUUUUCAAAUAUUCGUGAAAAAUAGAGAUACGUCAUUUUCUUCGCAAAAUAAAUUGUUAUUAAUUACCAUAUAUUUUUAAUAACGAAUUUUAUCAUAAUCUUACUGCGCUACAAUCGACUACUAUUUUUAAUCGUAUUUUUAAAAUAAUCAUUCGCUCUUUUGUAAUUAUUUUUUAAAAUUAUUUAUCGUUGCAAUAUUUCAUACGAGCAUUGAAAAAACAAAUUUGGCGCGCGUUUGCGCGUGACUCGCACGUCAUCCCCUCUUCUCGCUUACCUUCUCCCCCAUUGGCUGACUCGGAUAGCUGUCAUGGCGUCGCCGGCAAUUCGAGCUUGAGACGCGGAACGCGGUUGUUACUACUGUUAGUAACGCGUGUGCGCUCUUACCGUUCGUGUUGUGCGUAAUAUUCGAUCGUCGUGCCGUUAUCGCGUUUCUCUAUUCUUUUUAUUCACAGAAAAGCGAAGUGACUGUGCACAGUUAGUGAUUUUAAUGUACACAGUGCAAAGUAAAAGAGGACAACGCGGAUCGUUUAUCUACUAAACUUGGUUAAGAAAUUCCUUAAGAAACCGCGCUAAUAAAGCGAGUGAAGCAAUUGCAAAGCCCCGAUGAGGACUCCGCGGGUGGGGACUACUACCAGCUGACAUAUCCUAACUAGCGACCACAACCCGCCGGCCCUUCUCUGUCGACUAGCGAAAAACCACACUAGAUCGCAGCGACUAAGUCGGCGUAGUGUUGAGAACACAACACGGACGCUAAUUACACGCUUAGGGAACAGUAAUCGGGCAUAACGGGACGGACGAGACCACCUUUUUCUUUCUUAAAGAAAAGAAAGGUCUUAAAAAAGAGAGAGAAAGGAAGAGAGAGAGAGAGAGAAGAAGCUUUUAUCAAUCGCGUGAAAAAUAUACUUUUCGGCGGCGAGAUUAAUUUUUCCUUUCCACGCGAUCUCGAUGGAGAUCUCGAGAGGAGAGAGAAGGUGAAGAUUCUCGAGAAUCUUUCCUGGCUUCAUUGGAUCGAGCAAACUUUUUCUUCGAAAUUUUGUUUCUCGCGUCGAAAACACGAUACACACACAUAUACACACAUAUACGAUCGUUUUUGGAUAGGGAGAAAAAAAGAGAGAAGCUAGCACAACAAGCAGAUGAAGAAGAAAAAAAGAUAAAACGACGACAAGAGUUAGAACGAACGAAUAGAAAUUAUUUUUCCAAUUUCAUACGAGCCUUCGUCACGUCCGAUAACUUUCGUCCUUGUCAAAGUUCCAGAAGAAAAGAAAAGAAAAGAAAAAAAUAAAGAAUAAAAGUGAAAAAAUGAAAAGAAAAGGAAAAAAUUCGAACCGCUUUUUAGGUUCGAUUUUUUUUCCCUCCCCCCUUUUUCAGUGUGUUUUCUAGUCCGCUAGCUGAUAUCCAAUUUAAUCAUCGCUUAAAUCGAUAAAUAUAUGCGUAGAUAGAAAGUGAGUAGAUUACAUUCGUCGUAUUCGUACUCGAUUCCCAGUGUUAUUAUUAUCUAUAAUAAUAAUAAUAAUAAUAAUAAUAAUAAUAAUAAUAAGGAAAAAAGGUAUACUAAUUAUUAUAAUAUAUCGAAUAAGAAACGAAUUGAUCGUCACCAACACGGCCAGUAUUUUUAUUCCGUUUCUUAUAUUCAUUUUUUUUAACAUCUAUUAUUCUUUCUUCUCUGUAUUUUAGAAAAGAGAACAAAGCAUGUUACGAAGGAUUUAUUGCAGCACGAUCGCUUCUUUUAAUUUGCUUCGUUUCACCGUGAUUCCAUUCUCUUUAUUUUUCAACCAUUCACCAGUCAUUUCCAUCAUAGGCAUAGGUUGUAUAGGUAGAUUUGAGGUAAUGCCAAAUAUUAGUUGUCUUUAUCCUUUUUUUUUAAUCGUACAUUUGAUGUUACCGUAGAAUUUAUUAUUUUUUUUUUUUGUUUAAAUCGUUAUAAUUUUAUUACAAUAUAGGUUUAUUAUUGUAUAAUUGUGAUCGAAUGUAUAAUUGUAACGAUUAUUUGAAUUUCGUGUAUUCGCCAAUGGCGGUACAUUUAAUUCCUAUAUAUAUAUAUAUAUAUAUAUAAUAUAUUUUCCUUGCGAAACUUUAUUUUUAUCAUUCGACGUAUCUAGUUAUUAUAUAUAUAUAUAUUUUCUUCGAUAUUCCAUACAUAAUUAUUAUUUCCAACAAUCUUUUAUUAAAUCUUUAAAUCGUUUCGAAACAUUAAUACAUAUCCUCUCCUAUCAAACGCAAGCAUUUAAUAAGCAUUUACAAAUAAGCGAGAGCUGUUGAGAAUUUAAUGUGAACCGUAUGACGACUCCGAAUAUCCAAUCCAAUUUGCUUCCAUUUACAGCACUAAAAUGUUUCCAGUAAACUAAGCUCGUAGACUAAAACCCUCAAGAGGAGGGGAGAGAGAGAGAGAGAGGGGAGGGGGGGUGAAGUUCAUGGCCACGGGUCGAGUUUGUAAUUAUCGUAGCUAACUAACCGACGAAAAUUUCUGUCUACCAAAUUGAUACUCCCUCAUGCUCGAAUGCGUGAGAUAAAUUAACGCAUCUCUGUCGAUAUGGACGAUCUUAAGCGUCCUUUAUUCGAUUCAUCGCUUUCGUUGAUUCUUUUCUCCAAACUUGUAACAAUCUCACUUCCUUAAUGAUUGCUUCUAUACAGCAACUAUUAUAGAAAUUGUUGUUUCAGCAUUGUGGCAUGUUAAAAAGUAUACCGAUAAUAGGAUACGAUACUGGAGCAAUAAUUUUCGAAUUGUACACGAGAUGCGAGACAUCGUGUAUAUAUACAUGAAAACUGGGGCACUUUCUAUUAAAAUAUACCUAAUUUUAAUAUAAACGUUGCUCCGUUGCGAUAUCGAAUGGAUAAGAAAGAUAUUCUUAUUUUAUUAGACUGGGUUUAAUAUAUCUAAGAUAAUCUUAGCAUUUAAAGUUUGGAUUACGCGAAAAGGAAGAAUUCCCAAAUGACCGUCCUUCUUUACCAACAGUAUUCGAAUUCAGCUCAGAUCCUUACCUCACCUCGGAGGGGAUACGUAUUAAUGUACUUUCGACUCUUUUAUCGAUCAAUUGUUAUUAACACUGUACACAAAUUCACGAGGAUUGUAUUAUAUGAUAAGGUUAAACUUCAGGUAACAUUAUACGCAUAGUUUGCAUAGUUUUCUAUAUAUAUAUAUAAACACAAAUAUCUUGGAGUACAUUUCGAUAUACUACGCAUAACUUGCAUUCAGAUUUUCUGGAAAAGGAAAAAUAACGAAGAGAUGGUAGACACCUCGUAUCACACGGACCUAAAUAAUGCACGAACCAUCUACGACAGUGGUUCUCAAUUUUCGAGUAACGAGUAUCUUCUUUCCACGAGUCUUUUUUGACAACGUUCGAUUGCGUAUUCUAACCUCAAAUUUUUAUCAUUCGUCAUUUAUUAUCUCUGGUGGAAAGGAGGACUCGCAACUCGAGAAAAUAUCGCUCGAGAACGCUGAUCUACGUGAGAUUUUGAAAGGAUGCGGCUGCCAAGUGCCUCGAUCCCUCGGUCGAACAAAAAUUCGUACGAACAAUAACGAAGUAAUCGCUGUAUCGUGCGAUUCGUGAAUCAUACAUGCUCGCCCCCUUUCUGCGUGCGUUCCACAAUGAUUUCAACUAGGGGGAGGAUCGACUAGGGUUGCUUGGUUAAACAACGAUGAAAAAGGGGAAGUUUGGAAUUUUAUGGGAGGGGGGAAGUUUAAGGCACUCGUGAUGCAUUGUUGCCGGCAUUUGUGAUUCACGACGCACGAAUCAUCCGCAUUGUAUUCAUUCGAAUCGUGGACUUUUCUUCUUGAUAAUUUGAGGUUAGGCAAACGUUAUUUUUAUUUUUAUUAUUUACGUUAAAGUAAAAUAUAAGUAUUUUAGAAGAGAAAAAAAAAUGAAAUUAUAUGUUACAGUGAAAGCGUCAAGUGUUUAAUAAUAAACGUAUACCAGUAUGCAUUUACGUAAGAAUUUAGAGCGAGGAAUUAAUAAAGGCCAAGUAUACAAAAGUUUAGACAAUUAGAUGCAUACCACUUGACAAUUACAAAUGUAUACAUAUAUUUAUUAAACACGAAUGCACGCUCCUUGUAACAUAUGCUUCGAAAGAUAAUUUUAAAGAGAGAUAGGUUUAUCUUAAAUUCCAUUUCGUUUUUAGAAAUUUUACACUUCUAACGAGUUCUUCCAACCAUGUGCAAAGAAUAUAAAAGAGAAUUUUAUCUAAUCGAAAAAGACAAUUCGUGAAAUUAUAUAUAAGUUUAUUAUUUUUUUUUUUGAAUUCAAUUUGGAAAUUUAGUUUUCUUGUGGAAAAGAAUUGAUUAUUUUCAUUAUUUCUUUUUUUCAACCGAUUAAACGUAUUACAUGCAGUAUUAAUUACACUUCUUUUCUACGCGUCGUAAUUUUUUCUACUCUUUAUUUCUCUUAAUAAUUAUCGAUCGUGAAUAUUACUUAUCAAUAAAAUCGCGUGAUUCUUCUUAUCGCAGAUAUCACGUUGAUAUUGAAUUCUUUGUGAAUUGCAAUUGAUAAUAGUCUUGAUAACUCAUAGAAAGAGAAAGAAAUAUAUAUAUAUAAAUAAAUAAAUAAAUAAAUAAAAGUAUUAUAUAUUGCAAUAAUGUUAAUAAAAAUAUAAUUUUUCUGUUAUUAUAUUCAGAAAUUAAGAAUUAUUCUCAUUAAAUACACGCAUACAUGCAUCGUUAUGCGCGUGUUGGCAAAUUAUUUACGAUUAUCUAUCUAUAUUUAACUUAUUUCAUUCGUUGAAUAUAUAUAUAUAUAUCUCGAUGAAUAAUUUUACGUAAAUGUUGCUUCGAGCGCUAUUCGUUUGAGACGAUACAACAAAGUACGUAAAUUAGUUGAAAGAUGCCGCCGUUAAAGGUGCUAUAAAUUAUUUUAUUCGAAACUGUUAAUCUAAUUUUCAACCCUUAGCUCGUCAAUCAAUUAAUAUACUUUUAGUAUAAAAUAAAUCGAAACCGCGGUCCAAAAAUUUUCAUCCGAAAGAAAAAUUAGUACGAUGCGAUAAAUAUUUUUGAUUUGAAACAUUUUUUUUUACACGAAGGUGUAAAAAAAUUAAUGUGCUUCGAGAAGAAACCACAUUCAUCCAUUCGAUGUAAUCUUUACUUUCGAACGUUUCGAAAGAAUAAUAAUAAUAAGGAAAGAGGCAGAUUUUUCUCCUGUAAAAUUCAUGUGUUACGUAUUUUUAAAUAAGUCCCCCCAUCCACGUUAAUUCCAUUUGGUUGGAGAGAUGUUUAAUUUCGUAAAAUUCGCUGUUGCAAUUGUAAUUGAUGAAGAUGUAUUUAUGUACGAAACAAAUAAAGGCUGCAUUUAAAAUCUUAA